rnacentral:rRNA from 1 species
AACGUAGGAGGCGAGCGUUAUCCGGAUUUACUGGGUGUAAAGCGCGUGUAGGCGGUCGUGCAAGUGGUGCGUGAAAGCGCCCGGCUCAACCGGGCGAGGACGUGGGCGAACUGCGCGACUAGAGGCAGGUAGAGGCGUGUGGAAUUCCGGGUGUAGUGGUGAAAUGCGUAGAGAUCCGGAGGAACACCAGUGGCGAAGGCGACACGCUGGGCCUGGCCUGACGCUGAGAGGCGAAAGCAUGGGGAGCGAACGGGAUUAGAAACCCCGGUAGUCCAUGCCGUAAACGAUGCUGACUAGGUGUGGCGGGUCUGAACUCCCGCCGUGCCGGAGCCAACGUGGUAAGUCAGCCACCUGGGGACUACGGCCGCAAGGUUAAA